GCGGAGGUGGCGUAACGGUAGCCGCACCAGAUUUAGGAUCUGGCGUUGAAAGACGUGAGGGUUCGAAUCCCUUCCUCCGCA
rnacentral:tRNA from 1 species